rnacentral:rRNA from 1 species
UGGGGAAUAUUGGACAAUGGGCGCAAGCCUGAUCCAGCCAUGCCGCGUGAGUGAUGAAGGCCCUAGGGUUGUAAAGCUCUUUCAGCGAGGAGGAUAAUGACGUUACUCGCAGAAGAAGCCCCGGCUAACUUCGUGCCAGCAGCCGCGGUAAUACGAAGGGGGCUAGCGUUGUUCGGAAUCACUGGGCGUAAAGCGCACGUAGGCGGACUUUUAAGUCAGGGGUGAAAUCCCGGGGCUCAACCCCGGAACUGCCUUUGAUACUGGAAGUCUUGAGUCCGAGAGAGGUGAGUGGAACUCCGAGUGUAGAGGUGAAAUUCGUAGAUAUUCGGAAGAACACCAGUGGCGAAGGCGGCUCACUGGCUCGGUACUGACGCUGAGGUGCGAAAGCGUGGGGAGCAAACAGG